AUCCCUGUAGCGCUAUGGACAGCGCGUUGGCCUUCUAAUCCAAAGGUUGUGGGUUUUUAUCCCACCUGGGAUG
rnacentral:tRNA from 1 species